UGCCAGACUCCUACGGGAGGCAGCAGUGAGGAAUAUUGGUCAAUGGGCGCGAGCCUGAACCAGCCAAGUCGCGUGAGGGAUGACGGCCCUACGGGUUGUAAACCUCUUUUGUCGGGGAGCAAAUUCCGCCACGUGUGGCGGAGUCGAGAGUACCCGAAGAAAAAGCAUCGGCUAACUCCGUGCCAGCAGCCGCGGUAAUACGGAGGAUGCGAGCGUUAUCCGGAUUUAUCGGGUUUAAAGGGUGCGUAGGCGGACGCUUAAGUCAGCGGUAAAAUUGCGGGGCUCAACCUCGUCGAGCCGUUGAAACUGGGUGCCUUGAGUGGGCGAGAAGUACGCGGAAUGCGUGGUGUAGCGGUGAAAUGCAUAGAUAUCACGCAGAACUCCGAUUGCGAAGACAGCAUACCGGCGCCCAACUGACGCUGAAGCACGAAAGCGUGGGUAUCGAACAGGAUUAGAUACCCCGGUAUA
rnacentral:rRNA from 1 species